CAGUAGCCGCGGGAAUACGGAGGGUGCAAGCGUUAAUCGGAAUUACUGGGCGUAAAGCGCACGUAGGCGGAUAUUUAAGUCAGGGGUGAAAUCCCAGAGCUCAACUCUGGAACUGCCUUUGAUACUGGGUAUCUUGAGUAUGGAAGAGGUAAGUGGAAUUCCGAGUGUAGAGGUGAAAUUCGUAGAUAUUCGGAGGAACACCAGUGGCGAAGGCGGCUUACUGGUCCAUUACUGACGCUGAGGUGCGAAAGCGUGGGGAGCAAACAGGAUUAGAUACCCGCGUAGUCCCUGUCUCUUAUAC
rnacentral:rRNA from 1 species